rnacentral:rRNA from 1 species
GCCUCAGUAACGGCGAGUGAAGCGGCAACAGCUCAAAUUUGAAAUCUGGUCACCUUACGGAGGCCCGAGUUGUAAUUUGUAGAGGAUGCUUCGAGCAUGGUCUGGCCUAAGUUCCUUGGAACAGGACGUCAUAGAGGGUGAGAAUCCCGUAUGCGGCCAGGUGCCUACGCUCAUGUGAAGCUCCUUCGACGAGUCGAGUUGUUUGGGAAUGCAGCUCAAAAUGGGUGGUAAAUUUCAUCUAAAGCUAAAUAUUGGCCAGAGACCGAUAGCGCACAAGUAGAGUGAUCGAAAGAUGAAAAGCACUUUGGAAAGAGAGUUAAACAGUACGUGAAAUUGUUGAAAGGGAAGCGCUUGCAACCAGACUUGCGCGCGGCCGAUCAUCCGGUGUUCUCACCGGUGCACUCGGCCGUGCUCAGGCCAGCAUCGGUUUUGGCGGCUGGAUAAAGGCCCUAGGAAUGUAGCUCCUCUCGGGGAGUGUUAUAGUCUAGGGUGCAAUGCAGCCUGCUGGGACCGAGGACCGCGCU